ACUUCUGAGAACUUGAACAUCACAUCUCUGCCACUUCUGUCAUUGCAGCUAUGAAUCUGUCCACUAUUUUCUUCAUGCUUCACAAUGGAGUUGAUGUCAGCCCAUAAACCACAGGCUAAAUUAGCAACUGUGCAGAGGAAAUCUGUUAUCAUGUGGCAUGGUACAUGCUCAUCUCAGGUUUGAUAUUCCCAUGGAGACUUGAAUUAUGAUUCCAUCAUUUGCCUACUUUUAGGACUUCUCUUCCCUAUCAGAAAAGUCACCACUGUUCCCAUAAGCAGGGCUCUAAGAACCAGAGCAGUCACAAUAGCCAUGAAUGAGAAGGUACACAGGGGCAGCUCUUGUUAGUGAAAGGAAAGAAAGCAAGUAUGAGGCCUCUGACCUCCAGCUCUCCAUCUCGACCCUGUUCUAGUUAUCCAACAGAUCCCCAUUCCCUCUUUAUAGUCUCUGUGCUCACUCCCAAUCCUUACCACAUCUUGGUGUAAUGGGCUCAUCUCAUGAUUCACACGACUUCUAUAUCUUUGCUCUUCCCCAGGGCAUCACCACACUGCUCUUCUAUGGAAGGUUCCAUCCCCUGCAGGCCUAUGCUGUACCACCUCCAUGUCCUGGGUCUGAUUGCUCUCAUACCUCUGCAAGGUUUAGCCCUCUGGGACCAAUCCUCAGAGGACAGGAGCUCCAGUCUUAGAACACAUGAAACAUUUUCUGUCCUCAUCUGAACAAGAUUUCCUUCCCAUAGUCCAUCUGUGAGAGGAGUGACUUCCCACAUUCAAUCUCCAGGUACACACUUUCUUGGCUUUUACCAAACUCUCUUCACCUGGCCUGGGCUUCCUGAUCCUCAGUUCAUCAGUGUUGGUUUUCU
ensembl:lncRNA